rnacentral:pre_miRNA from 1 species
CAUGUACUCCCUUCGUUCGGAAAUACUUGUCAGAGGAAUGGAUGUAUCUAGAUGUAUUUUAGCUCUAGAUGCAUCCAUUUUUAUGCAUUUUUCGACAAGUAUUUUCGGACGGAGGGAGUACUUU